UGGGGAAUAUUGCACAAUGGGCGCAAGCCUGAUGCAGCCAUGCCGCGUGUGUGAAGAAGGCCUUCGGGUUGUAAAGCACUUUCAGCGAGGAGGAAGGUGGUGGACUUAAUACGUUCAUCAAUUGACGUUACUCGCAGAAGAAGCACCGGCUAACUCCGUGCCAGCAGCCGCGGUAAUACGGAGGGUGCAAGCGUUAAUCGGAAUUACUGGGCGUAAAGCGCACGCAGGCGGUUUGUUAAGUCAGAUGUGAAAUCCCCGGGCUCAACCUGGGAACUGCAUUUGAAACUGGCAAGCUAGAGUCUCGUAGAGGGGGGUAGAAUUCCAGGUGUAGCGGUGAAAUGCGUAGAGAUCUGGAGGAAUACCGGUGGCGAAGGCGGCCCCCUGGACGAAGACUGACGCUCAGGUGCGAAAGCGUGGGGAGCAAACAGGGUUAGAUACCCUGGUAGUCCACGCUGUAAACGAUGUCGAUUUUGGAGGUUGUGCCCUUGAGGCGUGGCUUCCGGAGCUAACGCGUUAAAUCGACCGCCUGGGGAGUACGGCCGCAAGGUUAAAACUCAAAUGAAUUG
rnacentral:rRNA from 1 species